UCUUUCAGUUUCAAGCAUCAAACAGGCCAAGGUGAGUGAGGCCUCACUUAUUGCUAAAUAUUUUAGUCACAGAUGCAUGGACUUUGCAGCAGUGGUGCACAUGUAAUAUGCAGGUGGAAAUUAGUAUUUAUUGCUAUAAGCUGGUACCAUGCAUGUUUCCAUUGUUAAGGUUCUUGAAAUGUUUUACAUUGUCUUUGUAAAAAUAAAUAUGGUCCUUAUCAGUGUGAGAGCUGCAGCAAAUGCUAGGCUGCUGAUUGGCUUCUGUGUCCUACUGUGUUGUAAAGUAAUGCAGGGCCUUUAAGUUUCUAUGAAAUCAUAUCUUCCCACACCACGAAACCAAAGGCAGAUACACAAUAGUGUGACGGACGUUUAACAACGAUUCAGACGGGACCAAAGCCUUAACAAACAACACAGACGUCUUCAUAGCAGCAGUGACCCCAACCGGUGUCUGACUCAUACGAGAUGCCCACUGAGUCUGCUGUCUGUCACUCACUGCUCUGACCCACUGCUGGAUGCUCCAGUUACUGCCUGGUAGGGCAGAUUGAAACAAGCUGAUCUGAUUGUCUGCAUCCCUGCAAACUAAGAAGAUUAAGAAGGAGGAGGAAGAGGAGGAGGAUGGCGGGAAAACCAAACACCAACAGUCUGGAAACAUUUCAACCAAUUAAAUAUGAGAACAAGAAUAAUUGGAUUCUUAAUAUUUACCCUGAAUUUACAGAUAUGCUGAUAAUUUAAUCCACAGUAGAUGUGUUUUUAUUUGUAAUUUAUACUGCUAAACCAAUAAAUUAUUCUUUACCUUUAGUCAUUCUGAGGUAAAGACAGCUAAAGAAAUUUCCCGGUGCUUUCCAUCUGAGCUCAUUGUUCUGCUUUAGAGAAGCUGAACAUUUCCAAAAAUCAGUCGGAAAGUUCCAAACAAAGGAUCAAUGUUCAAUGAUCUUUGGUCUGAACACCUCACCUGGACUCCUCCAAACAUUCUUGAUGUGUUUGUGACCAAACAGCUCAACCUUUGUCUGGUUUCAUCAUCAAACUUCAGGCUUUGGCUUGUCCAUGUGGGCAGCUGCAGAUCUUAGCUUGGAGGGGAAAGUUUGGGAGCAGCUUCCAGUUCAUGGCAGGCCUGAGCCUUGUUGGUUCCAGAACAUCCUAACGAUCAUCUGAGGGGGACAGUUUGGGUCUCCUUAUACACCUGGAUUCAUGUCCAGAUGUUUGAACUGAUGGCUGAUGAUACCGACUAAGCUACACUGCUAUGAAAAAAGGUUUUGAUCCCCUGCAGAUGUCUUCUGUUUUUGCUUUUUUGUCCUGAUUAAAGGUUUCAGAUUAACAGAUAAUAAAGAAUAAUAUAACCAGAGUAAAUACAAAAAGUUGUUUUUAAAAAUUAAAUAUGUAAUUUAUUGAGAAAGAGGAGCUUUCCAACCCAUCCUGACCCUUUGUGAGAAAGUAAUUACGCCCUAAACCUGAAAAUCUGGAAGCGCUGUUCAAGUGUCUUUGAUGGCUGGUAAUGAGUCUUCAAUAUCACUUUGAAAGAAUUUAGACCCACUCUGCUUUGCUGAAUUGUUUGAAUUCAACCACAUUGGAGGAUUUUCCUGCAUGAAUGGCCUGUUUAAGGUCAUGCCACAUCAUUUCAAUAAGAUUUAAGUCCAGACUUUGACUAGGUUACCGCAAACCAUUAAUUUAGCCAUUCAGAGUUGGACUUGCUUGUGGGCUUUGGAUCAUUGUCCUGUUACAGAACCCAAAUGAGGUUGAGCUUAAGGUCAAAAAACUUAUGGCUGGACAUUUUACUUCAGGAUUUUCUGCUGGAGGGCAGAACUCAUGGUUCCAUCAUUAAAGGAUGUUUUCCAGGUCCUGAAGUAGCAGAGCAAGCCUCAGACCAUCACACUACCGCCACCAUGUUUGACUGUAGGAAUAAUGUUUUGUUUCUGAAAUGCUGCAUUCGUUUUACAGCAGAUUUAAAGAGCUACUGCUCCUCAGCAAGAAAAGGAGUCACUUGAAUCGAUUUGAACAUCUGAUCCUCAAGUCAGUGACUUGAUGCAAUUAGCUGGG